rnacentral:rRNA from 1 species
CAUUCUCCCGNUACUCGACCGCCGGGGCACUAAAGGUCUGACAUUAUUUAUUUGGUCGGACCUCGAAGCCCCGGUGAGUAGGAGGGUCGCGGUGGUGAGCGUUGAAGGGUACGGCGUGGGCCGGCCUGGAGCCGCCACUGGUGCAGAUCUUGGUGGUAGUAGCAAAGAAUCGAGAGAGACUCUCCUCGAGGGCCGAAGCGGAGAAGGGUUUCAUGUGAACAUCAGUUGGACAUGAAUCAGUCGAUCCUGAGCCCAAGGCGAAAGCCUGAGCCCACGUCCAAGGCAACGGCCCCAAGAGAAAAAGUUGAAGGGUUUGUUGGUUGGUAGAGGUAGUAGUAGUAGUAGUAGUACGAAUUUUUCAAGCUGCUGGUACUAGUGCUGCUCCUACUGCUGAUAAUGAUAAUGAUGAUGAUGCCAAUUGUCAAAGAGGCGUCUGUCUUCUUGGACUUUUUCCCGGACAGGUGAGCGGUGCGAAUUGUCAAAGAACG